GGUUAAGCGACUAAGCGUACACGGUGGAUGCCUAGGCAGUCAGAGGCGAUGAAGGGCGUGCUAAUCUGCGAAAAGCGUCGGUAAGGUGAUAUGAACCGUUACAACCGACGAUACCCGAAUGGGGAAACCCAGUGCAAUUCGUUGCACUAUUGCAUGGUGAAUACAUAGCCAUGCAAGGCGAACCGGGGGAACUGAAACAUCUAAGUACCCCGAGGAAAAGAAAUCAACCGAGAUUCCCCCAGUAGCGGCGAGCGAACGGGGAGGAGCCCAGAACCUGAAUCAGCGUAUGUGUUAGUGGAAGCGUCUGGAAAGUCGCACGGUACAGGGUGAUAGUCCCGUACACAAAAAUGCAUAUGUUGUGAGUUCGAUGAGUAGGGCGGGACACGUGACAUCCUGUCUGAAUAUGGGGGGACCAUCCUCCAAGGCUAAAUACUCCUGACUGACCGAUAGUGAACCAGUACCGUGAGGGAAAGGCGAAAAGAACCCCGGCGAGGGGAGUGAAAUAGAACCUGAAACCGUGUACGUACAAGCAGUGGGAGCACCUUCGUGGUGUGACUGCGUACCUUUUGUAUAAUGGGUCAGCGACUUAUAUUUUGUAGCAAGGUUAACCGAAUAGGGGAGCCGUAGGGAAACCGAGUCUUAACUGGGCGAAUAGUUGCAAGGUAUAGACCCGAAACCCGGUGAUCUAGCCAUGGGCAGGUUGAAGGUUGGGUAACACUAACUGGAGGACCGAACCGACUAAUGUUGAAAAAUUAGCGGAUGACUUGUGGCUGGGGGUGAAAGGCCAAUCAAACCGGGAGAUAGCUGGUUCUCCCCGAAAGCUAUUUAGGUAGCGCCUCGUGAACUCAUCUUCGGGGGUAGAGCACUGUUUCGGCUAGGGGGUCAUCCCGACUUACCAAACCGAUGCAAACUCCGAAUACCGAAGAAUGUUAUCACGGGAGACACACGGCGGGUGCUAACGUCCGUCGUGAAGAGGGAAACAACCCAGACCGCCAGCUAAGGUCCCAAAGUCAUGGUUAAGUGGGAAACGAUGUGGGAAGGCAUAGACAGCCAGGAUGUUGGCUUAGAAGCAGCCAUCAUUUAAAGAAAGCGUAAUAGCUCACUGGUCGAGUCGGCCUGCGCGGAAGAUGUAACGGGGCUAAACCAUGCACCGAAGCUGCGGCAGCGACGCUUAGGCGUUGUUGGGUAGGGGAGCGUUCUGUAAGCCGUUGAAGGUGACCUGUGAGGGUUGCUGGAGGUAUCAGAAGUGCGAAUGCUGACAUAAGUAACGAUAAUGCGGGUGAAAAACCCGCACGCCGGAAGACCAAGGGUUCCUGUCCAACGUUAAUCGGGGCAGGGUGAGUCGACCCCUAAGGCGAGGCUGAAAAGCGUAGUCGAUGGGAAACAGGUUAAUAUUCCUGUACUUGGUGUUACUGCGAAGGGGGGACGGAGAAGGCUAGGCUAGCCGGGCGACGGUUGUCCCGGUUUAAGCAUGUAGGCGGAGCGACUUGGUAAAUCCGGUUGCUUAUCAACGCUGAGGUGUGAUGACGAGCCACUACGGUGGUGAAGUAGUUGAUGCCAAGCUUCCAGGAAAAGCCUCUAAGCAUCAGGUAACAUUAAAUCGUACCCCAAACCGACACAGGUGGUCAGGUAGAGAAUACUCAGGCGCUUGAGAGAACUCGGGUGAAGGAACUAGGCAAAAUGGUGCCGUAACUUCGGGAGAAGGCACGCUGGCAUUAGGUAAAGAGACUUGCUCUCGGCGCCGAAGCCAGUCGCAGAUACCAGCUGGCUGCAACUGUUUAAUAAAAACACAGCACUGUGCAAACACGAAAGUGGACGUAUACGGUGUGACGCCUGCCCGGUGCUGGAAGGUUAAUUGAUGGGGUCAGCCGCAAGGCGAAGCUCUUGAUCGAAGCCCCAGUAAACGGCGGCCGUAACUAUAACGGUCCUAAGGUAGCGAAAUUCCUUGUCGGGUAAGUUCCGACCUGCACGAAUGGCGUAAUGAUGGCCAGGCUGUCUCCACCCGAGACUCAGUGAAAUUGAACUCGCUGUGAAGAUGCAGUGUACCCGCGGCAAGACGGAAAGACCCCGUGAACCUUUACUAUAGCUUGACACUGAACAUUGAGCCUUGAUGUGUAGGAUAGGUGGGAGGCAUUGAAGUGUGGACGCCAGUCUGCAUGGAGCCAACCUUGAAAUACCACCCUUUAAUGUUUGAUGUUCUAACUCGGCCCCGUAAUCCGGGGUGAGGACAGUGUCUGGUGGGUAGUUUGACUGGGGCGGUCUCCUCCCAAAGAGUAACGGAGGAGCACGAAGGUUAGCUAAUCACGGUCGGACAUCGUGAGGUUAGUGCAAAGGCAUAAGCUAGCUUGACUGCGAGAGUGACGGCUCGAGCAGGUACGAAAGUAGGUCUUAGUGAUCCGGUGGUUCUGAAUGGAAGGGCCAUCGCUCAACGGAUAAAAGGUACUCCGGGGAUAACAGGCUGAUACCGCCCAAGAGUUCAUAUCGACGGCGGUGUUUGGCACCUCGAUGUCGGCUCAUCACAUCCUGGGGCUGAAGUAGGUCCCAAGGGUAUGGCUGUUCGCCAUUUAAAGUGGUACGCGAGCUGGGUUUAGAACGUCGUGAGACAGUUCGGUCCCUAUCUGCCGUGGGCGUUGGAAGAUUGAGAGGGGCUGCUCCUAGUACGAGAGGACCGGAGUGGACGAAUCACUGGUGUUCGGGUUGUCAUGCCAAUGGCAUUGCCCGGUAGCUAAAUUCGGAAGAGAUAACCGCUGAAAGCAUCUAAGCGGGAAACUUGCCUCGAGAUGAGUCUUCCCUGGGGCUUUAAGCCCCCUGAAGGAACGUUAAAGACUAUGACGUUGAUAGGCUGGGUGUGUAAGUGCAGCGAUGCAUUGAGCUAACCAGUACUAAUGAUCCGUGAGGCUUAACCUU
rnacentral:rRNA from 1 species